rnacentral:rRNA from 1 species
CCUACGGGGUGCAGCAGUGAGGAAUAUUGGUCAAUGGGCGGGAGCCUGAACCAGCCAAGUCGCGUGAGGGAAGACGGUCCUAUGGAUUGUAAACCUCUUUAGGCGGGGAGCAAUGCCGGGCACGCGUGCCCGGAGGGAGAGUACCCGCAGAAUAAGCAUCGGCAAACUCCGUGCCAGCAGCCGCGGUAAUACGGGGGUUGCGAGCGUUACCCGGAUUUAUUGGGUUAAAGGGGUGCGUAGGCGGAUUUUUAAGUCAGCGGUAAAUGGUCGGGGCUCAACCCGGGCCGGCCGUUGAAACUGGGGAUCUUGAGUGGGCGAGAGGUAUGCGGAAUGCGUGGUGUAGCGGUGAAAUGCAUAGAUAUCACGCAGAACACCGGUUGCGAAGGCAGCAUACCGGCGCCCGACUGACGCUGAGGCACGAAAGCGUGGGGAUCGAACAGGAUUAGAUACCCUGGUAGUC